GUUUUCUGAGAGGAAAUGCAUAUUCUUGGGACUACUUUCUUUUUUAUUAUAGCCCUCAAGGUCUGUGUAGGUUUCUUCCUUCAGACGUCGGAGGUCCAGGUGUAUGUUGGAGAAAGUGUGGUCUUGCGCUGCAAUGGUUCAGGGUUCCCUGUGGAGGAGCUGCAUGUUCACUGGGAGGCGAUGGGCAAAGACGUGAUCUCUCUGCGAGGAGACGCGGUCGCGGUCGGGAGAGGGUUUGAAGACCGGGUGAACUUCCUCAGAGAUCCUGCAGAGUCCGAGGACUUUUCCCUCAUUCUGUCAGAUGUGAUGCUGAACGAUGGAGACAUAUACGAAUGUCUCUGGGAGGGAACAAAACCCAUUUGCUUUGUGUUUCUACAAGUGUCCACACCAGCGGUUUUCACUGAUCAUGUCCAAGUGUUUGAGGGCGUCGAUAUCACUUUGGACUGCUUUGGAGAUAUCCCUAAAAACAAGCCAUGGGAAGACAUUUACAUCCAGUGGCUGAAGGAUGACCGAGAGAUCCUGCGCUUGAGCUCUGGACAGAUGGACGUCAGUGUCGAUUCCAGCGUGCUGAGGUUACCGGCCAAACACGACAUCAGUCGCGGCAUCUUCUCGCUGAGCAUCGCGUCAGUCAGUGUCUUCGACCGCGGCGUGUAUCAGUGCCGGUACAAGAGCACCGAUUACGAGGCGCCGCGGAGCGGGUUCCCGGAGACACAUACGCUCACGGUCUCGGUGAUGGAUACGUCCGUCACAGAGACAGACACUGAUUCUGGUAAGUGCCUUCUUGUUUCUGUUUGA
ensembl:lncRNA